AACGAACGCUGGCGGCAUGCCUAACACAUGCAAGUCGAACGAUGCCUUCGGGCAUAGUGGCGCACGGGUGCGUAACGCGUGGGAAUCUGCCUUUCGGUUCGGAAUAACUCAGGGAAACUUGAGCUAAUACCGGAUAACGUCGCAAGACCAAAGAUUUAUCACCGAAAGAUGAGCCCGCGUAGGAUUAGCUAGUUGGUGAGGUAAAGGCUCACCAAGGCGACGAUCCUUAGCUGGUCUGAGAGGAUGAUCAGCCACACUGGGACUGAGACACGGCCCAGACUCCUACGGGAGGCAGCAGUGGGGAAUAUUGGACAAUGGGCGAAAGCCUGAUCCAGCAAGGCCGCGUGAGUGAUGAAGGCCUUAGGGUUGUAAAGCUCUUUUACCCGGGAAGAUAAUGACGGUACCGGGAGAAUAAGCCCCGGCUAACUCCGUG
rnacentral:rRNA from 1 species